rnacentral:rRNA from 1 species
GCGACCCCAGGAUGGGCGAGUCCACCCGCUGAGUUUAAGCAUAUCAAUAAGCGGAGGAAAAGAAACUUACGAGGAUUCCCCU